rnacentral:rRNA from 1 species
CGGAUGCGUACAUCCUUUGUGAAAUUGCCGGGCUUAACCCGGUAGCGCGCAGAGGACACGGCGCAUCUUGGGAAUGGGAGAGGUUAGAGGUAUUCGUAGGGGACCGGUAAAAUGGUAUAAUCCUGCGAGGACCGCCGAUAGCGAAAGCAUCUAACUAGAACAUGUCCGACGGUGAGGGACGAAAGCCAGGGGAGCGAACCGGAUUAGAUACCCGAGUAGUCCUGGCCGUAAACGCUGCGAGCUAGGUGUUGCGCCUCCUAUGUGGAGGUGCAGUAUCGAAGCGAAGGCAAUAAGCUCGCCGCCUGGGGA